AAAACGGUCCUUUUCAGGACCACCAAUUAUUUCCAAAAAGCAUUU
rfam:Anopheles sinensis unplaced genomic scaffold AS2_scf7180000696055, whole genome shotgun sequence.